UACGUAGGGUGCGAGCGUUGUCCGGAAUUACUGGGCGUAAAGAGCUCGUAGGUGGUUUGUCGCGUUGUUCGUGAAUACUCACAGCUCAACUGUGGGCGUGCGGGCGAUACGGGCAGACUGGAGUACUGCAGGGGAGACUGGAAUUCCUGGUGUAGCGGUGGAAUGCGCAGAUAUCAGGAGGAACACCGGUGGCGAAGGCGGGUCUCUGGGCAGUAACUGACGCUGAGGAGCGAAAGCGUGGGGAGCAAACAGG
rnacentral:rRNA from 1 species